rnacentral:lncRNA from 1 species
UAUGGGGCAUCGAACUCAGGUCCUUGCGCUUGCGCAGCGGCGGAGAAACCACUGAGCUAAAUCCCUGGCCCUUGGGUUCUCAUUUUUAAGUGGAGGCAACAGAGUCUGGAAUAGAAAGAUAAGGAGAUUCAUCACCAGUGUUUUCAUUUGUUCACUAUGCUCCUGGAGGUUAAAGGUCAUAAGGGUGGCCACUAGGGCAAAUCCUGUAGUCUCAGCUCCUGUAGGGAGGCUGAGGCAGGGGAGUUGCUUGUGCCCAAGACUUGGAGCCUGGUGCUUGCAAAGUAAAGGGGCUUUGGCUUUAAAUCAGCCAGUCAAUACAUACAUACAGGUACGUUCAGAGAGAACGAGGGAAGAGUGAAUUAGUAUAAAUAUUAAAACAUUGAAAUGAAGAUGUUGGGAGUGAUACAGGAAGUAAAGCCUGGCAAAGCUGGCUGGGGAAAUGAGCAAUACUUGUCAAUCACAAGAUCCCAGGCCAACAUGAGGACUCGUCCAUGAAACUUCUCCCAAGCUUCCACCAGAUGUGGGCAGCAUAAAAGAAGAGCAGCCUUUUCCGAAAGCCAGUAUCCUGAGUUUGCACUGUGGCCUGGGUGCUUUUCUGAGACAAGGUGCAUACUUUUAUUUUUGCUUUUCCCCUCUUUUUCUCUUUGUUCUGCCCAAGUUUGCUCUGCAGAGCUGGUUUCUUCCACAUCCAUUCACCCCCUACUUUUGAAAUAAACUUUUGGCACCGUUUUUGGCUUGUCUCGUCCAAUUCUUUGUUCCAGGCCAGAAGGACCUGGAAUACUUCUGAUUGGCUAGCCAUUUCUACAGAAACUGCCACGUAACUGGAGAAGGUAGAGAUGGCCUUAGUCAUCCUGGACGGUGGAGCCCAGAAAGACCUCCCCAUGCAGGGAAAGCAGCAGCCAUGCCGCUGUUUUCCCGGACCUCCACCAUGCCCAGCUAUGGAAUUCCAAGACAUAAUUCCAUUUUGGCCUCCAGUCACAACCGAGACCUCAAUGAUCCAGUGAUGCUGUGAUUCUCCAGGACAAGAUUACUCCAGCUGAAGGCAUCCUGGGAGGAACAAACAUCUACUCAGUUCCUCAUUGUUCUUGGACUGUUACCAUCUUGUUUACCCGGAUGUACUGAACUCUCUGCAAGUCAUUUGUUAC